GACGAGCGCUGGCGGCAAGCCUAACACAUGCAAGUCGAACGCCGUAGCAAUACGGAGUGGCAGACGGGUGAGUAACACGUGGGAACGUGCCUUUCGGUUCGGAACAACUGAGGGAAACUUCAGCUAAAACCGGAUACGCCCUUCGGGGGAAAGUUUACGCCGAAAGAUCGGCCCGCGUCAGAUUAGGUAGUUGGCGGGGUAAUGGCCCACCAAGCCGAUGAUCUGUAGCUGUUCUGAGAGGAAGAUCAGCCACACUGGGACUGAGACACGGCCCAGACUCCUACGGGAGGCAGCAGUGGGGAAUAUUGGACAAUGGGCGCAAGCCUGAUCCAGCUAUACCGCGUGGAUGAAGAAGGCCUUCGGGUUGUAAAGUCCUUUCGGCGGGGAAGAUAAUGACGGUACCCGCAGAAGAAGCCCCGGCUAAUUUCGUGCCAGCCGCCGCAGUAAGAC
rnacentral:rRNA from 1 species